UAAAUUUAGCCUUAUUAGAGUUGUUUGAAUGAAAUUAUUUAAUAAUAAAAAUAUUUGUAAAUUGUUAUGUUUUUGUAUAGGUUAUAGAUAAAAUUAUAAAGAUGAUAGUUAAUUAUGUAUUGUGAAAGAAAUGUGAAAUAUUAUGAAAAUUUAUUUAUAUAAAAGUAAAUUUUAUUUAUUGUACCUUGUGUAUCAGGGUUUAUUAAAAUUUUAAUAAUGAAUAUAUUAAUCCCGAUUUAAAGAGAGCUAAUUAAAUAUGUUAGUUAUUGUAGAAUAAAUAUUAAAAAUUUUUGAUUAGUAAUGAAAUGUUAUCCGUUUUUUAAGAUAUCUGGUUUUUUAAGAAAUGAAUUUAAUUCAGUUAUAAGAAGUUAAUUAUUUUAAUAAAUAAGUGAUUAUGGGUUUUAUACAAAUAUUUUGGGGGAUGAGCUUCAAGAUAUUAUUUAUAAUGAGUAAAUUAAUAGAAAAAAGGUUGUAAGCUUAGAAAUAGCUACCAAUUAAAGAAUGUUAUAAUUUAAAUUUUUUUUAAAUAAUUUGCAAGGAAUUUAAAUUUUUCAUUAAAAUUUAAGUUUUAAUUAAUAAAAUUUAGUAAUAAUGAUGAAAUUAGUAUAAUAUUUUGUGUAGAGUAAUAUUAUUUGUAAGGUUACAUUAAGGAACUCGGCAAAUUAAUGCUCGCCUGUUUAACAAAAACAUGUCUUCUUGUUUAAUAAUUUGAAGUCUGACCUGCCCACUGACUUGAGGUUAAAGGGCCGCGGUAUUUUGACCGUGCAAAGGUAGCAUAAUCAUUAGUCUUUUUAUUGAAGGCUUGUAUGAAUGGUUGGACGAGGUAUUGACUGUCUCUGUGUAAUUGAUGUUAGAAUUUAACUUUUAAGUUAAAAGGCUUAAUUGUAUUUAAAGGACGAGAAGACCCUAUAGAGCUUUAUAAUAAUGGUUAUAUUAUUUAUUUAGAGGUUCUUAAGUUAUAUAAUUAUUUAUUAUUUUGUUGGGGUGACAGGAAGAUGAAGUAAACUCUUUUUAUUUAAUAACAUAAAUUAAUGAAUUAUUGAUCCAUUAUUAAUGAUUAAAAGACUAAGUUACCUUAGGGAUAACAGCGUAAUCUUUUUCGAGAGUUCUUAUCGACAAGAAGGAUUGCGACCUCGAUGUUGGAUUAAGAGUAAUUUUGGGUGUAGAUGUUCAAAGUUUAGGUCUGUUCGACUUUUAAAUUCUUACAUGAUCUGAGUUCAGACCGGCGUAAGCCAGGUCGGUUUCUAUCCUUAAAUAUAUUAUAAUAUUUUAGUACGAAAGGACCAAAUAUUAAAAAUAAUUUUUAUUUAAAGAAUUAAAUUAAUUAGUAAU
rnacentral:rRNA from 1 species